GCUCGAAGAUUCCAUGCUUUGGUGUCAAAAUGAAGCUGAGGAAUUGAUGUUUGAUGUGUUCCUUGUCCCUAUUGAUCAAACAAAGUGUAAAUUAGAAAGAAAAAAAAUAGUGAAAUAUGUGUCAGCAGUAGAAAAGGGAAAUUUUAGGAUUAAAAAAUAUAUAUGAUCUGAUAAGUAGAAAUAUUUCAAAUAAUACAUUAUGUAUUUUUAGAUUUUUAUGUAAGUUUUCUAUUCCGUGAAAAGAAUAAUUUAAAUUCCAAGAACAUGCAUCCAAUUUAACAUCUUCACCAUCGGAUAAUUACUCCUCAGCACCCAUCGGACAUGACAUGAUACUUCAACAGUCAUACAUUUGACUAUUUCCUACCAAUUAAACAAAUUCAAUUUUGCAGCCACAGUCCUUUGUAUGUCAUGUAUGGUUGGCUGUACAUGACAAGGAUAUGUCUUGUGACCUUUUCUUGUUGCAAUUAUUGUUUUCAAUAACGAAUAACUUCCAACGGCUUGAUUAAUAACAUUUUCUUAUUUUUCUUAUGAUUUUUCAUAGUUUUAUUUAUAUUUUUUUUUCUCAGAGAAAUUUGUUAUUUGCAAAUCCGAUUCCGUCGAUCUAAAGUAAGUUCUCCUCGUUGACCUCGACGCCAUUUCCACGGGAAGAUGUCUCCUUGCUUACAUGGCGAUGCUGUUGCUCUAUGUCAUCCAAAGACCGCAGCGUCGAUCGCUCAACGAUUCUGCUGUCUUUGGAAGUUCAAAUCCCGAGUUCUUUCGCUCGUUGCAAAGACUCGACCAAACAAAGUCAACCACGCAUCUUAUCAUCUUCUCCAUCCCAAGCAACAUAACAAAGCACCGAAGUUUCUGACCAACACAUGGAAUAAAGAAGGCAAAACAUGCACAUGCAAAUAGUAAGUCACGCAACAACCAUCAAAGGGAGCUUUCAUCUGAUGGCGGCCUUAAACCUAUAGCUUUACCGAAAGAGAAGCUUCACGCAACGCGUGACAUCUCAACCACUCUUCAACCCACUUAUUCUGUGUGCAGUCUACUGAGAAUUCCAUGUCCUCCCACAGACCCUACUCUUGCGCCGCAAUACUGGGAACGCAGUGCAUCGGGAUCGCCCAAACAAGAUAUAAUUUAUCUUGGCGUUUAGGGAAGGAGAAGGGGAGAGGAGCUUCAAUAUUCAUUGUGGGGUGCAUGCAGCUUGCAGAAAGCAAACCUGAUUGUUUAAUGCCGGGUAGGUCGUCAUACGGGGUGGGCUGUCGUCGUCCCACGAACAAAGAUUCCCGGGGUUGUGUGCAGGCGUACCCCACGUGACCGACGUCGUCUCGCGUGCGCCGCCCCCGUUGCCGCC
rnacentral:lncRNA from 1 species